GAUGAACGCUAGCGGCAGGCCUAAUACAUGCAAGUCGAACGGUGUCUUCGGACAUAGUGGCGCACGGGUGCGUAACACGUAUGCAACCUACCUUACAUUGGGGGAUAGCCUUUCGAAAGGGAGAUUAAUACCGCAUAAGACAGUAGCUGGGCAUCCAGCAGCUGUUAAAGAUUUAUCGAUGUAAGCUGGGCAUGCGUCCAAUUAGCUAGUUGGUGAGGUAACGGCUCACCACGGCAAUGAUUGGUAGGGGAACUGAGAGGUCAAUCCCCCACACUGGCCCUGGGAUACUGGCCAGACUCCUCCGGGAAGCAGCAGUAGUGAAUAUUGGGCUAUGGACGCAAGUCUGUCCUAGCCAUGACGCGUGCAGGAUGAAGGCGUUAUGCGUUGUAAACUGCUUUUAUACAGGAAGAUACGACUCUUGCGAGAGGCAUUGACGGUACUGUAUGAAUAAGCACCGGCUAACUCCGUGCCAGCCGCCGCCGUAAGAC
rnacentral:rRNA from 1 species